AGUGAACGCUGGCGGUAGGCCUAACACAUGCAAGUCGAACGGCAGCACAGUAAGAGCUUGCUCUUACGGGUGGCGAGUGGCGGACGGGUGAGGAAUACAUCGGAAUCUACUUUUUCGUGGGGGGUAACGUAGGGAAACUUACGCUAAUACCGCAUACGACCUACGGGUGAAAGCAGGGGAUCUUCGGACCUUGCGCGAUUGAAUGAGCCGAUGUCGGAUUAGCUAGUUGGCGGGGUAAAGGCCCACCAAGGCGACGAUCCGUAGCUGGUCUGAGAGGAUGAUCAGCCACACUGGAACUGAGACACGGUCCAGACUCCUACGGGAGGCAGCAGUGGGGAAUAUUGGACAAUGGGCGCAAGCCUGAUCCAGCCAUACCGCGGGGGUGAGGAAGGCCUUCGGGUUGUAAAGCCCUUUUGUUGGGAAAGAAAAGCAGCAGGUUAAUACCCCGCUGUUCUGACGGUACCCAAAGAAUAAGCACCGGCUAACUUCGU
rnacentral:rRNA from 1 species